GACGAACGCUGGCGGCGUGCUUAACACAUGCAAGUCGAACGGAAAGGCCCUGCUUUUGUGGGGUGCUCGAGUGGCGAACGGGUGAGUAACACGUGAGUAACCUGCCCUUGACUUUGGGAUAACUUCAGGAAACUGGGGCUAAUACCGGAUAGGAGCUCCUGCUGCAUGGUGGGGGUUGGAAAGUUUCGGCGGUUGGGGAUGGACUCGCGGCUUAUCAGCUUGUUGGUGGGGUAGUGGCUUACCAAGGCUUUGACGGGUAGCCGGCCUGAGAGGGUGACCGGACACAUUGGGACUGAGAUACGGCCCAGACUCCGACGGGAGGCAGCAGUGGGGAAUAUUGCACAAUGGGCGGAAGCCUGAUGCAGCAACGCCGCGUGCGGGAUGACGGCCUUCGGGUUGUAAACCGCUUUCGCCUGUGACGAAGCGUGAGUGACGGUAAUGGGUAAAGAAGCACCGGCUAACUACGU
rnacentral:rRNA from 1 species